rnacentral:rRNA from 1 species
AUCCUAGGGCGCAGCAGUGGGGAAUAUUGGGCAAUGGGCGCAAGCCUGACCCAGCAACGCCGCGUGAAGGAAGAAGGCUUUCGGGUUGUAAACUUCUUUUCUCAGGGACGAAGAAAAUGACGGUACCUGAAGAAGAAGCCCCGGCUAACUACGUGCCAGCAGCCGCGGUAAUACGUAGGGGGCAAGCGUUAUCCGGAUUUACUGGGUGUAAAGGGGGCGCAGACGGCGAUGCAAGCCAGGAGUGAAAGCUCGGGGCUCAACCCUGAGCCUGCAUUUGAAACUGUGUUUCUUGAGUGCUGGAGAGG